GGAAAAUAUACUAUUCCAAAGUGGCUCUCUCCUAACAGUACGCUGCUGCUUAGCCAAAUGCUACAGGUGGACCCAAAGAAGCGGAUUACAGUUAAGCAUCUGUUAAGUCACCCGUGGCUCAUGGAAGGUUAUUCAGAUGCUGUCCACUGGCAAAGUAAAUAUCCACAGGGACACCUUGACGAGGACUGCGUGACAGAGCUUUCCGUGUUUCACAACCAGAGCAGGGAGAGAAUAUUGGAAUUAAUAUCAGAGGCAAAAUAGACUCAACCUAAAGAUGUCUGGAUGAACAACCGAUUUCUUGCACUGGCUGAACUCCGUGCUUUGCAAUGUUCUGAUACCGGAGAGAAAACUUCCAGUGCAUCGCUCAGCCAGGCUAUAAAAUAAGCGUGGGGGACUUGCUUUUCACAAACUUUGGAAGAAGUGAAUCAGUUCCUGUCCCAUUGGAAUAUAAAUGACAAAAGCUGAGCUGACUACCUGUAGAGGAAUUGUACCAAGGUGUUAGUGGUGAUAUUCUAACCUGGUAGAAGAGACUUACAAC